rnacentral:rRNA from 1 species
CGCCUGUUUAACAAAAACAUGUCUCUUUGAGUAUUUUUAAUAGAGAGUUGGGCCUGCUCAGUGAAUAAUAUUAAACAGCUGCGGUAUUAUAACUGUACUAAGGUAGCAUAAUAAUUUGCCUUAUAAAUUGAGGCUAGAAUGAAUGGUUUGACGAAAAUUAUACUGUCUCUAGUUUAUUUAUUAGAAGUUAAUUUUUAUAGUGAAAAAGCUUAAAUAAUUUGAAGGGACGAGAAGACCCUAUUGAGCUUUAUAUUAUAUAUUAAAGUUAUAAUUGUAUUUAUUUAAUAUAAUUUUGGUUGGGGUGAUCAAGGAAUAAAAAUUAAUUUAUUAACUUCCUUAAUAGAAUUAAUAUAUAUAUAUUAAUAAACCAAUAAUUUUGCUUAGAAGAUAAGUUACCAUAGGGAUAACAGCGUAAUUUUUUUUGAAAGUUCUUAUUGAAAAAGGAGAUUGCGACCUCGAUGUUGGAUUAAAAUAACCUUAAGGUGUAGAGGCUUUAAUUGGUAAAUCUGUUCGAUUUUUAAAAUUUUACGUGAUCUGAGUUCAGACCGG